GACGAACGCUGGCGGCGUGCCUAAUACAUGCAAGUCGAGCGGACUGAAUGGGAGCUUGCUCUUGUUCGGUCAGCGGCGGACGGGUGAGUAACACGUGGGCAACCUGCCCGCAAGACCGGGAUAACUCCGGGAAACCGGAGCUAAUACCGGAUAACACCGAAGACCGCAUGGUCUUUGGUUGAAAGGCGGCGCAAGCUGCCACUUGCGGAUGGGCCCGCGGCGCAUUAGCUAGUUGGUGAGGUAACGGCUCACCAAGGCGACGAUGCGUAGCCGGCCUGAGAGGGUGCCCGGCCACACUGGGACUGAGACACGGCCCAGACUCCUCCGGGAGGCAGCAGUAGGGAAUCUUCCGCAAUGGGCGAAAGCCUGACGGAGCGACGCCGCGUGAGCGAAGAAGGCCUUCGGGUCGUAAAGCUCUGUUGUGAGGGACGAAGGAGCGCCGUUUGAAGAAGGCGGCGCGGUGACGGUACCUCACGAGGAAGCCCCGGCUAACUACGUG
rnacentral:rRNA from 1 species